UGCUGAGACAAAUUCAGACCCGAUUCAGAUCCGACCCACACUGGAAAAUGGACGCGCCGCAUGUUUAUUCCCGGAACGGACGAGAGCGGCCUCUGAGAGCGAGGCGAGGGCGAGGGAGGAGGCGAGUGGAGACGAUGCACGACGACGCAAAUUACCUCGCGCUGGUGGAAGAAGCCGAAGCCGCUGUUGCGGGAAAAGCGAAGCGGCCGAAGCUCGCCGAUGAGGGCUCCUACACCGCCGCGCUCAAGGGAAGCCACAGCUUCGUGUGGCAGCAGCAGCAGCAGCAGCAGCAGAAGCAGAAGCAGCAGCGGCGAACCCCGAAUCAGCCGAUCUAUAACUCGAAGAGCGAUUUUAGGAGCAGCAUCUGGAGCAAAGAAGGGGGCGGGAAAGGAGAGGAGAUUCCGGAGAGGGCGUGCCCUUGUGGAUCGGGGACUUGCUCGGUUUUAACAUCUGCCACUGCGAAGAAUCCUGGGCGCAAGUUCUAUCGAUGCCCUCUGAGAGCGGAAAAUGGCGGUUGCAAUUUUUUUGAGUGGUGUGAUAGCCCAUCGUCAAGCAUACCUACUGCUCCAAGUACUACGAAUUAUCAAUCUGGUUCGUCAGCUCCGGAACUUCCAUGUCCAUGCGGUGCUGGAUCUUGCCCGGUUCUCACUACAAAGACGGGAAAGAAUGUGGGGAGGCAAUAUUAUCGUUGCCCUGCAGAUGGAAAUGGUUCUUGUGGCUUCUUUAAAUGGUGCGACGACCAUAUCUCUGUAGCCAGUCAACCUUCACUUGCUUUGCAAAAACGUAGCCUUAAUAACAGCUUAGGAAGCCAACUUUCUAAUGAGAAAAGCAGUUCUUCUUGCUUCAAGUGUGGGCAGAAAGGCCAUUGGGCCAAGGACUGUCCUAAUCAAUCCUCGGAUUCCUAUGCAGAUAAAGCGGGAAGCCGUUUUGUUUCCUCAACCUCAGGUACAUGCUUCAAGUGUGGUAAGCCUGGUCACUGGUCUCGAGACUGCCCUAACCAAAAAUCUGGUGCUGCUUUUGUCCGUACAAACUGCUCAAAUGCUUUCCGCUCGUGCUAGGAAUAGAUGUAAAUAGCGAGCCACUGAAGACCGUAAAAAGUCAGUAAAUAGGACUGAAGGGGUUGAUAGUAAGCGUGCACACUUCUCUCUGUAUGGAAGAGUUGAUAUAUGAUAUCACUUGACCAGGAAAGAUUCAAAUGCAAUCAAGAAUCGAUAAAUUACAUAUUCAUUCAAGGGAGUCUGACCUGACCUUUAUUGGCUACUGGCUGGGAGCAAACACGUGGUUUCCAUGCAUUAUCUUGAUUGCUUUCUGAUGAUACAAAUACAGUUGCAGAAGUUCCACUCAUUGAAGUCUAUGCUUUUCUCAUGUGGGUUUUUGAGAUUCUUGUUUCUCAUCUCUGACCAAAUUGGCCAAUGCAUUAUCUGAAUUUGUUAAUCAAAUCUUUUUCCAUUUAUUGAAUGAAAUUAUUAUAGAGUGGGAACACUUUGAGGUUAA